rnacentral:hammerhead_ribozyme from 1 species
GCUCAACUGACGAAUCCUGAAUAGGACGAAACGCGCGUCCUGGAU